rnacentral:lncRNA from 1 species
UAUUAGGUUUAAUUGAGAACUAUGCUAGCACACGGUUAAACCUAAUUCUUCUCGAGACUUCGAUUUGAUCAAGUCCAUAGCCUUGAAUCUAAUCUAAAUAUAUUUGGGUUUAAUUGGGCUCUUAAUUAUGAGCUCAAGAAAAUUUGAUUAAGUCAAUUAGUUGGCAUAAUUAUCCUAACAUUAUCUCUUCUUUAUCUCUUAAUUAUCUCUAAGUGUGUAUAUGGAAUAGAUGAAA